UUUACACUUGUUUUUUGAACUAACAUAUUUAAUAUAUUUUUUAUAAAAAAUAAAAUAUAAUUUUUAUACAUAUAUUAUUAUAUUUAUCUUAUAUUUUUAUUAUAUUAUGCAAUAGUAAAACAUUUCUUUCCUAAUUUCUUCAUGUUCACAUAUUUUAAUUGUGGGAGAUUUUAACAUUCAUGUUUGUUGUCCUGAAAAACCUUUGGUAUCACAGUUUUUAGAUUUAGAUUCUCUUAAUUUCACUCAGUUUGUCACGGGCACUACUCAUGAGCAGGGUCACAUGUUGGAUCUGGUUUUAUCUUUAGCUCCUCAAAUUUGUAAUGUUGAAAUUGGUGAUUACUGUUUGUCUGAUCAUAUGCCUGUGAUUUUUAAUGUCACUUUGAAUUGUGGAUCAUCGAGCUCUCAGUCUUCUGCUUAUUGAUCUAGAUUGAUCACUUCAUCUGCAUCGACGGCUUUUACAGAUGCUUUUUUAGUCUCCUCCUUUACGUCAUUUAUUGAGUAUCCCUCUUUUAAGGCAGGUCCUGAUGAGCUGGUUACUGUGUUUAACUCUGAGUGUUCAGAUAUUUUGGAUGUUAUUGCUCCGGAUAAAAACAUCAUAGUUCGAGGUCAACCGUGGUUUGAUAAUGCUACUCGUGCUGUCAGACAGGAGUGUAGAAAGGCUGAACGGAGGUGGAAAAAGAUAAAUUACAUGUUUCACAUCAAAUUACGAUGGAGAGUUUGUUGAAAUAUUAAAAGGUUGUGAAGGAUGCAAGAACAAAUAAUUUUUCUAAUAUUAUUUCUUUACUCUCUAACUCUCCCAGAGUGUUGUUCAACACCAUUAAUAGAUUACUGAACCUGGAGAGAGUUGAUUUAAACCCCUCUGUGGAUAUUUGUGAACUGUUUUUGAAACGUUUUGUUGAUAAAAUAAAGGAAAUUAAAAUAAAGGCUGAGUUUUCCUCCAGUUUAUGACACUGAUCCGGUGAUAGUGACUGUUAGUGAUGAGAUUUUUGAUCAGUUUCACCUUGUGUCUCUCUCAGAAGCAAAACAGAUUAUAUCUCAUCUGAAGUCUUCUACUUGCCCCUGUGAUGUUGUUCCUGUGCGCCUUCUCAAGGAGAUGGUAGAUAUCAUUAGCUCUAGCAUCAUGUCUAUCAUCAAUAGUAGUCUUGUUGACGUGUGAUUCCACUUUGCUUUAAGCAAGCAAUUGUUCAGCCUCUUUUGAAGAAGCCAAGUUUAGAUCCUUUGGAUCUGAAGAAUUAUCGGCUGAUCUCUAAGCUGCCAAAUCUUUCCAAGAUUUUGGAGAAAGUAGUUUUAUCCCAGCUGAAGUGUUUUUUAACUCAGAACAAUGUCUUAGACAAGUUUCAAUCUGGAUUUAGGGCUGGUCACAGUACUGAGUCAGCUCUGUUAAGGGUAGCAAAUGAUUUGUUACUAAUUGGUGACUCAGGUAGCAUGCUGCUUUAAUUUUGUUGGACCUCAGUGCGGCAUUUGAUGCUAUUGAUCAUUAAAUUCUUAUUAGUCGUCUAAGGCAUGCUGUGGGGUUACAAUGUACAGUUUUAAGAUGGUUUAUAUCUUACCUUGAAGGUAGAUCCCAUUUUGUUUUCUUUGUAUAUGCUACCCCUUGACAUGAUUUUUAAGAAAUAUUGUAUAUCUUACCACUUCUAUGCAGAUGACACUCAAAUCUAUCUCCCACUGCAGCCUGGAGUGAAUCGUACUUUUAAUUUGUUUUUGUUAUGUUUAGAAGUAGUUAAAGGUUGGCUGGGUCAAAAUCUUCUCCAGUUAAUUGUGAAGAAAACAGAGAUCAUUAUCUUUGGAUCUGAUGUAUGUGGUGGAGAUAUUACCAAUGCUUAGGUCCAUGGGCCGCUAAUCUGCAAAGCCAAGUGAAAAAUCUGAGUGUUGUUUUUGAUUCAUCACUAAAAUUUGAUAAACAGAUUAAGGCUGUUGUAAAAAGUUGUUUUUAUCAACUAAGAGCCAUCAUUCAGCAAGGGGAGGGGAGGAGGGGCUCCUAACCGACCGCCUGGAGUGGUCAGGGCCACUGCCAGGGGCGGAGGAGGGCCCUACCAGCCGCUAAAACGUGGCGGGGUUGAGAGGACCGCCGACCGCGUGUGGGGAGGUGCUCCUGGCCAAUCGCCUGGUGUGGGAGAACCGCUGCCAGGGUUGGGGGAGGACUCUUUCUGUCCACCGAAAACACGGCGGGGCAUUCUGUCCGCCAGGGGCCGGAGGACUGCCUCCGAUCUGCCCGGAGAGGCACGGCUGUUAUCCACCGAGGACCACGCGAUGGUGCAUCAGAGAACUAGUGAGUGAGGGUUUUUUUCUCUCUUUCCUCUCUCUCUAUUGCUGUCGCUCCAUGUCGGCCUUUCCCUCGCCUGUUUUUUUUUUUUUUGUUGUUGUUGUUUUUCCCCUCCUGUCUCCUCCCAGGUCAAAGAAGGCGGUGAUGAUCCGCCAGUAGGCAGGGCGCAAGGCACGCCCCCUCCGGAGGUGGGGACAUCGUGCCGGGGGCUCCCCAGCCUGAGGCAACCCAGGGAGGAGUGUAGCUUGGAAGAGGGCAGGGCCGGUCUGGAAUGGCGCACGCUGGACCCCAAUCAGCCUGAUGAGGUGAGCAAGGGAUAAAGGCGACCGCAGACGAGAGAGAGAGAACUACAGGCAGCUGCCCUGUAUGUGUUUACUGUAUGUUUGUGUGUUAUUAUUUAAGUUUAUCAUUAAACUUUAUUUAUAUUGUCAAGCCGGUUCUCACCGCCUCCUUUCUCUUUUAACCCCUUUACAGUGCGCUUUGUGUUCACUAUCCUAGUUUAUACUUUUAGUUUAUAUUUUCGCAAGCAUCUGCUGACAGCGCAUGUCACAUCGCUUCACGUGCUCUUCAGGAGCUGGUUUAUGUCCGCAGUGCGGCUCAGUGAAGCUCGGACUCAAGAGUUCAACUGAGUGACACACAAAUGCGUUCGUGGCAUUUAUACAGUAUAUUCACUUAAAAUUCCCUUAUUCCCUUAAUUUCCCUUAAAUG